UCUACGUAAACAAACUGAAGAAUUGUCUGA
rnacentral:piRNA from 1 species